rnacentral:lncRNA from 1 species
CGGGCUACGCCAAGCAUGGAGACUUCUCGCGGGCGAUCCAGUUCUUCGCAGAGAUGGAGAGAAACCACGUCCUCCCGGACAAGAUCACGUACGUGGCGGUGCUGGGCGCGAUCCAGGAUCUGGAACAGGGAAGGAGAAUUCACGUCAGGAUCCAAGAGACGGGCUAUGAUACCGACCUGGUGGUGGCGAACGCGCUGAUGAAGAUGUACGCGGCGUGCUCCAGCCUCGCCGACGCUACUCGGGUUUUCGAAGCCAUGGAUCACAGGGACGUGGUGUCGUGGACCUCGAUCAUCGCAGCA